rfam:Heterocephalus glaber contig118804, whole genome shotgun sequence.
GAAUGUGAGGCCAAUCUGGCUAUGACAUCUGUCACCCUGUCGCCACAGUUGAUUCGGCUGAUCUGGCUGGCUAGGUGGGUGUCCCUUUCCUCCUUCACCACUUUAUGUGUGUCCCUCCUGGAGCUGCAUGCUCAGUGGAAGAGCACGACCACCCCUGAUAGAGGAAGAUCAUUUCCUUGGUCAAGCAUAUACAAGCGGCUAUACUCCCCUACUAGAACCUCCAAACAAGCUCUCAAGAAAAUAUGGCCACAUAGUGAAUGAAAUAAUUUAACUUUACAGAUCCUAAGCUGUCAAACGAUUACUAAAUCAGUGUAAUAUGUU